UACGGAGGGUGCGAGCGUUGUUCGGAAUCACUGGGCGUAAAGCGCGUGUAGGCGGCCUUCUAAGUCUGGUGUGAAAGCCCGGGGCUCAACCCCGGAAGUGCAUUGGAUACUGGAAGGCUGGAGUACCGGAGAGGAGGGUGGAAUUCCUGGUGUAGCUGUGAAAUGCGUAGAUAUCAGGAGGAACACCUGUGGCGAAGGCGGCCCUCUGGACGGAUACUGACGCUGAGACGCGAAAGCGUGGGGAGCAAACAGG
rnacentral:rRNA from 1 species